CGGGAUGGUUACAUACAAAGGCUGCUUUCCAGGAACUUUCCAGGAACCGCAUCAUGUGACAGGACCCGCUCCGGCGCCUCCGCCGCGAUCGCGGCCAGCCGGGGCCGACGCACCGAGCCGCCGCCCCUGUCACGCCGGGGCAGCGGUCGCCGAACGCUGCCCCGCGGCCCCCCCGCCUCCUUCUCCUCCGCCCGCGGAGCCACGGGCGACGCGCAGGCAAAAAUCCCUUUAA
rnacentral:lncRNA from 1 species